GACCCCUGAAACAUAAAGUAGGUAGAAGUUAGAAAGAAAACACAGGAUCUCAAAACCUUUCCCGAUAGACUCGUGUCACAAUGUCGUAUCCCAGCAUGCAUUUUGCCUCAACCAGUGGCAGUAGUUGAGGAUAUGAGCCAGACUCUGAGUAGCCGAGUUUUGGAGCUAUCGGCUGUAGAGUCUAUUUUCUUUCUACCGAUAGUUUCUACAUGAAACUUUUCACAACAAGGUCUGUGGAUUAUCUUCAGUAACCGGCUUAGGAUUUCUGGAAAGAGACAUUGCUGUUGAGUUUUUCAAAUGUUUUUUUUUUUUUUGGCGCUUUGAGCACCACAAGCCGAGUGCCAUAUAGUUCCAUUAUAUUAAAAAAAGACACACAUCUCUGCAGCUAAAAUCUCCAACACUCUGCAACUCACACCAAAACAAUCUAGACAGAUAAAUAGCACUGCAGGUAAGAGGAAAAAUAUGUAUUUUUGGGGUAAACUGUCCCUUUAAUAUAAAAUAUUGAUUAUAGCCACUAAAGCAAUAGUUUGACAUUUUGGGAAAUAUGCUUAUUCGCUUUUUUAACAAGAGUUAGAUGAUAAUAUUGAUACCUCUUUCAUAAACAUGAAGUACAGCCAGCAGGCAGUUAGCUUAGGUUAGCAUAAAGACAGUUGGGCCUCACCACAUUUGGAGAACAAAGAACAGAGGCCCUUGGGAAACCAAAAAGCCUGAACUCAUGGAAACGGCACAAAUCUCCACCAGCUGUUAAUUCACACCCAGACGCGGGAUUUCAGUUGAAUACAAACCCUGGAUUCCUAAAAUUCCAAAUGAGCGCAGGAAAUCCUGGCGCCCCAGCCAUGACAUCAUCACUUCUAUAAAAGCAGAGCAUAUAGGUCGCUCACUGUCUUUCCAUUGUAACUUUGGUUGCUUCAGGGGACACAUCACCUGAACUUUAGCUCCUUAGGUGAAGUCUUAACUCGCUAGACGAGCAACAGUUUUGUGUUUGCUGAACAUACUUUCGGAUCCUGAUUUUUAUCAUCCAUAUAACAAUCCUGUAUUUGCAGAAGGAAGACUCAGGUUUUACCGUUUUCUUCGCGGAGAGAAGGGUAACCGCUGAGCCCCACUCUUUCCCCAUUAAAAGUCAACUGCUACUUCCCUCCGCUGCCGCCUGAAGGAACAGUUUCACCAGUAUCCGAGCCUGAGAGGACUCCGCCGGAUAAUCCAAAUGGUCAGUGCUCGGAUUCACCCUCCACUGUCCACAAUUAUUAAUGUGUGUCAGUAAGGAAUGACAGUGAUCCAGGGCCUUGGUACAGGCACACAAAUGGUGCUUGUGCAUCAGGAGGAGGAACCUUAAUGAGGCCAGCCAUGUCACAUAGCCAAUCAGAACAUGCGUUGCCCAUGGCUGGGGGAGAAGCAGUGAUGACUGAAGCAUCCCCAGGAACAUGGCAGCCACUGCAGUCAUAUAGAAGACAGGAUGUAACUUUGAUCAACAAGGUAUUUCUACCUCCGGAGCUGCAGAGUCUGGAUCAGUGAUUGUG